rnacentral:antisense_RNA from 1 species
UGUCAUGGCGGCUGUGCGCGGGAUACCUUCGGGUAUGCCGAGUUGCCAGAGGAUCGGUCCGCGAACCUGCGUACAGCUGCCACCCAA